ACACUUCUGGUGUUGUCUCUUGUCCAGGAGUGACUUAACCCAAAGAAUCUGACAGAAGCUCAUCUGUAGGAAAAGCUCCCCACAGUACUGGUGUGUGUUUGGAUGUCUGCCGCUAUAAAGACUCCAAUGACAUUUGGGGCAGGUUCAAUGCUACAGGGAGAAGAUGGAGACGACGGCUGAGCAUUGGAAGGUGGACAGGCAGAUUCCCUCCGAGCUACCGUACUCAUCUGUAUUACUCACACUCAUCAGAGGAGGCGCUGACUCUACUUAGCUGGGUAACCCGCUGGCAUCGACUGCCCCCUCAUCAAUCCUACUGGAAAAGCUUCUGACUUUGUAAAGAGCCUUGAGAUGACAUGUAUUGUGAAUUGGCGCAAUAUAAAUAAACACUGGAUAUCCCUGAUCUUCUUUUCUCUCUAUCAAUAAACUAAUAAACCAUUAAUGUUUUUGUUUUAUUUGCUAAA